AAUAUUAACAUAAAUAAGUUUUCCAAUAACACAUUUGGUUAGUGGUACGCCAGCGAAUUGUCUGCGCUUGCUGUAACUAACCGUAACUGCAAAUCCAAACCAUAGGUUAUCUAAGAUGGAUGUCUUUGGCGCCGUGUAGUCUGGUAGAAGUUUACCAAUGUUUCAGAGGUUUUUCGAUAACUUUCAUUCGAGUGGAAACUGUGAUGUGGGCAGUGGCACAGAGAAGGAAAUCUGUAUACUAUUCAGAUUUUCAUCAGUACAAUAUGAUGCUGUGACGAGGUGCACACCAGCAUUUAUACAAGCCCCAGCCACCAGGUAAUGCAACGUACUGGGAAGCAGUGACACAACAAGGUUUCCUGUCGCAACCAAUUCCUGCAACAAGUCUGGUCGUUCCACCACAUCUAGAAGCACUGGUUCAACUCCUGGGUAGCGGCCAGCAACAGCAUCUGCCUCAUCUUUCAGUGCCGAUGCUGCAAAAUAUCAGAGCUAAAGAGAUUAAUAAAAAAUUUACUUUUAAUCUCAUGCUUCGAAUGUAAAUGUUACAAAAUAACCAAGUCUUAAAUUAGUGUCAAUGUUAUUGGUAAUGAUAAGAAAAUUAUGAUGUGAAUGGUGGAGUGGACUGGAGAGUUAGAGUUUAUUUACAUUCCAUAGAUCCUUCUUUGUGCUACACAAAAGGAUGUAAAACAAGUCAUAAUACAAGUACAGAACUUAGUUCACAUAUAGAUGUACAUAAAGCAUAAGAAUUGUCAACAAAGGUAAAAUCAUCUACAAAGUAGUAGAAGUGAGUUAAGAAGUAAACUUUUAUAUCAUGAGUUAAAAUUUUAAUUGUAGGUGGAAAAUUACUGACUACUUUGAUACAUGUAUAACAUACUCCUUUUUGAUAUUUAGUGAGGUUAGUAUUUGGCAUAUGAAAGUCAUAUUUACAGACAGAACAGAAGAAUCACAAAUAAACUGUCAACAGCAAUCCCUCACAGUCAAAUACGAUUAUGACAUACUAAGUAAUGAAUAUAAAGCUGUCUCAGGUGCACUGUAUUUGCACAUUGUCAAGUAAUCAAAUUAAACAUAAACUUUAACUCAUUUCUUUAUUAUUUGAAAUGUGACUGCAUCAGAUUCUUUUGACAGCAAAAGAGUUAUGUGGGAAAAAGGGUCUGAUAACACUGAGUAACACAAUCCAUUAUAUUUCUAAAUGUAUAAUAACUUCAUAAAUUGUUUUACAUAAUAAGACAUGCAAAAGAGUGAAAUUAAUUGUUUCUAAAACCUCUCAUUUUGACUAUAAACAAUGCUUUCAUUCCACCUCAAAACUAAAUAUGUUUUUGUACAAGUAUAAAAUAGAAUUAAAGAAAUUUAUUUUUGCCAUAA